UUCCACACCACUCUGGGAAAAAAACAACUCAGAACAAUAGGGUGGCAAUUCUCAAGGCUAUACCUCCUGCCUUUUUUUCUCUUCCCUAAAACAGCUGCCACCUCCCAAAUCCCAGGGUUUGAUGUCUGUACCUCACGCCACACGCUUGUCUCGUCUUCACCUUUGUCUCCUGAGGGAUGGACACUGUUACAGAAGACGGACGUGUUUGAUGCUGAAGUCACACAGUAUCCUGCCAGCAUCAGUUAAACGAUGAAUCUUGUAUGAGAGGGAUUCACGUCUGGGACAGACAGGAGAAGAGCUCCUGGGAUUUGCAGAAGAAAGAGGCCUGGGGACAAGUAGAUGUCAUCACUGGGGCCUCAGGAAGACCUUAUCGGGCCUGUAGACUCUUCAUUUGGAGCCUUGGUCUUAGCAGUGUUGAUUUCUGGCCCUUGGCGGAUGGCUACUAUACCUGGGAGUUACUUGCCUCUGUAAGUAACUCCGAAGGCCACUUCGCCUUAGGAUGGCAGGUAAUUAAGUCUAGAGGAGUGAGAGAGCAGAUACGUUCUCAGUUCAUGGGUGAAUGAGAGCCAAGGUUAUUGUAGAAGAGGCUAGAUGAGCUCAGAGAGUCACAGAUGAAAGAGAAUUCCCUCCAAUAGAGGCAGAGGCACAUUCACUACCUGAAGUCUGACACUGAGAAACCAAACAGCCCUCAGAAGACCUAGAAAGUACAAAAGGACCAGGAUGUGAGCAGAAAGGAAGCGAGUGGAAGAGUAGGAGGCAGGGCUGUUACUAAAGGAACACGUGCCCGGGCAUUAACUGGAAGAUGCCCACAUGUGUCAUCACCACAUUAAACAGAGUCAACGUGUUUCUCAAGCACAAAUCUCCCACAAGUGCUUAAAAUAUCAUCAUUGCUAAACAGAGUAUGACCUCCUGGUCAUGUGAUCUUGAGCCAGCCACACUAUCAUUUUCUAAGAUCUAGCUGUGGAUCUACUGAGGCUUUGUAUUAUUAAGUUUGUGCUUCACCCUACCCCCAUUCUCCAUAGCUUACGAAUUAGUAGAAUUCCAAAAGGCCAGGGCUGGGAAAAAAAGGAGGUUUGAAAUUUUUUAGUGAGGCUGCUCUCUUUACCUCCCACCCGAGGAAACUGAGACCCAGGACUCGCCCUGCCUGGAAUCACACAGCUCAGCGCUGGCAGAGCCAGGUGGGCACUGCAUC
ensembl:lncRNA